CAAGCACGCAAGCAAGCGAACAAAUGAGCCAGAGGGCUUGCUCUCUUGCCCUCCUUCCACAAGUGAGGGCCCAGCGAAGGCAGCCUCCUGUAGCCGGGAGGAGGCUGCACCCUGCAGCUCCUCCCGCCCCGCCCCCCAGCUAUAACCCAGUGUGUGCUGCUCAGACUGCCCGCCCUGUGGGCCUUCGUUAGGUGGCCCACGUCGGGCAGGAGACUCCCGGGCACCAGACACUGCUCCUGAGCAUGUCUUGUCCUGUCUGCCAUGGGCUUUACCCAAGCACUGCUUUUCCCCCACUGAACAGUCAAGUUUUUCUCUCAAGAUCAACCUAAGCAGUGACCAGGGCUGGAGUCUUAACCGUGCCCCAUGUCCCCAAGCCAGGGACACAGCCUCUGAGUGCCUCAGCCUCCACUCCGCGAACCAUGGACGGUCUCGGAGCCUCAAGGUGGCUGUGCGGAGGCCGAGCGGGUGGAGAACUCAUCGCGGUGCCAGGUGCAGUGAGCUGCUGUGCGGGAUGGAAUUCAGGAUUUUUCGCUUGUGAGGCAGGCGCGGUGCCACUAAGCUAAAUCCCCGGCCCUGACUAGCUCCGAAUUUACACAACCUGCAUCACCCACCCCCCACAAGGCUAAAGACAAGACGUGAGAGAUUUACAGGGACCUUCUACUUCCCAGAGACACCCACAAGCUUCCAGUCACAGCCCCAAACCUGUGGACACCCUGGAUCCAGCAGUGCAGCCCCAAAACGGACACAGUCAUCUCAGGACAGCCGAUUGGCCUGUUGGCUGAUCAGGACUUCUCUCCAGCUACCUCGCAAACCCGAACUCAGAGCAUGACCAGCCAGGCCCCAGCCCACCUCAGCCACUCCACGAAAACUGGUCUCCUUCCUUUGUGGACAGGCCAGUUUGAU
rnacentral:lncRNA from 1 species